UUCCGGUUGAUCCCGCCGGACCUGACUGCUAUCGGAUUGAUACUAAGCCAUGCGAGUCUUUGCAGUAAUGCAAGGCAUACGGCUCAGUAACACGUAGUCAACUUACCCUAUGGACGAGGAUAAUCUCGGGAAACUGAGCAUAAUACCCGAUAGACCACUUAUCCUGGAAUGGUUUAUGGUUAAAAUGAUUCGUCGCCAUAGGAUGGGACUGCGGCCUAUCAGCUUGUUGGUGAGGUAAUGGCCCACCAAGGCGAUUACAGGUACGGGCUCUGAGAGGAGAAGCCCGGAGAUGGGUACUGAGACAAGGACCCAGGCCCUAUGGGGCGCAGCAGGCGAGAAAACUUUGCAAUGUGCGAAAGCACGACAAGGUUAAUCCGAGUGAUUUCUGCUAAAGAAAUCUUUUGCAAGUCAUAAAACCACUAGUGAAUAAGGGGUGGGCAAGUUCUGGUGUCAGCCGCCGCGGUAAAACCAACACCUCAAGUGGUCAGGAGGAUUAUUGGGCCUAAAGCAUCCGUAGCCUGCUCUGUAAGUUUUCGGUUAAAUCCAUGUGCUCAACGUAUGGGCUGCCGUAAAUACUGUAGAACUAGGGAGUGGGAGAGGUAGACGGUACUCGGUAGGAAGGGGUAAAAUCCUUUGAUCUAUCGAUGACCACCUGUGGCGAAGGCGGUCUACCAGAACACGUUCGACGGUGAGGGAUGAAAGCUGGGGGAGCAAACCGGAUUAGAUACCCGGGUAGUCCCAGCUGUAAACGAUGCAGACUCGAUGAUGCAAUGGCAUAGAGCCAUUGCAGUAUCGCAGGGAAGCCGUUAAGUCUGCCGCCUGGGAAGUACGUACGCAAGUAUGAAACUUAAAGGAAUUGGCGGGGGAGCACCACAAGGGGUGAAGCCUGCGGUUCAAUUGGAUUCAACGCCGG
rnacentral:rRNA from 1 species